rnacentral:rRNA from 1 species
UAGCCGUAAACGAUACUCGCUAGGUGUCGGCCACGGUGCGACCGUUGUCGGUGCCGUAGGGAAGCCGUGAAGCGAGCCACCUGGGAAGUACGGCCGCAAGGCUGAAACUUAAAGGAAUUGGCGGGGGGAGCACAACAACGGGUGGAGCUUGCGGUUUAAUUGGAUUCAACGCCGGAAAUCUUACCGGGACCGACAGCAACAUGAAGGCCAGGCUGAAGACUUUGCCGGAUUAGCUGAGAGGUGGUGCAUGGCGUAGUCGUGU